AUCCACAACAGGAUCUAUGACUGUAACUAUACACUAUACACAACAGAAGGUUUAUAAUACACCAAAAUGUAUAAACUUCUAUCUACAUUAUACUAUGGAGCGGCACACCUAGCAGGCAACCACUAAUUCUGCUCCUCUCUAUAUAAUAUCUGCCCUGCAAUCAAAAACACCAAACUGGGGGGGGGUAAGUAUAUGAAUACUCAGUGAGUGGAGUAGAGAGUACUAUGCAUAUGAGACAGAAUAUAAUCAUGACUCGAGAUGAAAUCUCAAGAUCAAUAACAAGAUGAACAUGAACUCA
rnacentral:lncRNA from 1 species